GGGGGUGCACCGGCUUCGACGGGAAUGGUCAGAGGUACGGACAGCAGGCCGGAGUUGGUCGACGGCUCCGCAAAAAUCGACCAAAAAAUAAACAACGAUAUAAAUAUCGUUCCAGUGCAGAACACAAACCCCAUGCCAAUGAUGGGUUUUGGGUUCAUGCCGAUAGCCGCUUAAGCGGCUGCGUUUUACCUUUGACACCUGCUAUUAGGAUAAAACGACAAGAGCAGGUUAGUUUCGGACGGCUUGUGCCGUCAGCCCGAAAUGAAAUCAAAACGGCGCUGGUUUAUAAUGUAAUCCCGUCCGGAGACGGCAUUAUAAACGAGAUAAAUAUUCCGGGCUAAGCCUGUAGCGGUUCUGCCAAAGCAUUUUCGGACGCGGGUUCAAUUCCCGCCACCUCCACCA
rnacentral:tmRNA from 1 species